rnacentral:lncRNA from 1 species
UGGGGAUGGGAAAAUACAAACAAGAAGGUGAAGCCGAGAAGAGAGGCUGAAUCCACGACCAAGGUUCAAAACACAGGUGUGCGUAUCUGCAAUCACUGAUUAAAGCCAGCCAGUGCUUCGUGUCUUCUGGAAAGGCUUCACGGAAAAGCUUAUGCAUCAGGACAAUCAAGUUCUGAGGCACGCCCAUUUCUUUGAGAGCAGCCCAGAGCUUUUCAUGAUCCACGUGUGAAAUCCACGAUGGAGAGACUGAAUUCUGUCUGCCAAAACAGUAGCAGGAGCAGACUGUGCUCCUGACCAUGAACUGUUCAUAUCAAAUAUCAGAGAGAGCUGAAGAAGAGCACUGAAAGAGUCACAGUGCCAAAAUAUGACAAAUACAACAUUGCCGUGAAUUCAAAGUCCACAUAAAAAACUUAUUUGCAUUGUUAAAUUUAAUUGACUGAGAACCAGUAAAACUAUGGACUGAAAUCAGAAAUAUUAUUAAGGAAGAAUGCCAAAAGAUAAUGCCUGAAGUAAAAAGAAAAGAAAAAUCAAGGAUGACAGCAGAGACACACAGAAUUGUUAAGGACAGGCAAGAAGCAACAGUAAAAGGUGAUGAAAGUAGGGUUAGAAUCCUGAGCGCAGUCUCCCAGUGAUGUCAUACAGAGAUAAAGAGAACUACUAUAAUGGCCAAUGCAAAGAGAUGGAAGAGAACAAAGAAAAAGGAAGAACAAGAGGUCUCUUCCUGAAGAUUCGAGAAAUCGAAGGGAAAUUUAGACCUAGAUUAGGAAUGCUGAAGGACCAACAGGGAAGCACACUCUCUGAUCAGGAGAAGACAAAGGGAAGGUAGAAACAGUGCACUGAAGAUCUACACAGAAGAGACAAAAGGAUGAUGGAUGCCUUUGUAGACGAUUCCUAUGAGGAAGAACCUGUAAUUUUAGAUCGUGAAGUGGAAGCUGCCCUGAAAGUACUGGGAAGAAAAAAGUCACCAGUGUUAGGUUAGAUAUUGAUAGAAUUAUUUCAAGACACAGAGACUGAAUUUGUCAAAAUCCUAACAAGAACAUGCCAACAAACAUGGAAAACAAAAAAAAAUGACCAAUAGACUGGAAACGUGCAACAUAUAUCCCAAUCCCCAAAAAAGGAGACGCCAAAGAGCGCAGUGACCAUAGGACCUUUGCUCUAAUGUCCCAUGCAAAUGCUCAAGGUGCUACAGUAAAGGCUUUUACCUUAUGGGGAGCGAGAAUGCCUGAUAGCCAAGCUGGAUUUUGAAAGAAGAGGCACACAAGAUCUCCUUGGGGUUGUUCGUUGGCUACUGGAGUGCUCCAAAGAAUUUCAGAAGAAGCUAGUCUAUGUUUUACAGACUAUAGUAAAGCCUUUGACUGUGUAGAUUGUGUGUGUAUACUAACCUGUAUAUAUACAUAUAUCUGUAACUCCACCCAUAUGUAUAUGUAACCAUCUGUAUCUAUAUUAAGCUAAACAUGAAUUCAUCCUGAUGUCUUCAACUUUAAUCAAUUGCCACAUGGAUCAUUCUAGCCUUCCCCCCUUGCUUAUCUGUAAACUCCCAUUACAACAGUGAGAAACCUGGCUCCCACCAGCUGCCACCCAUUUACUUAAUCAUUCAGUUCAACACAUUUAAUUAAUUUUUAAUCUAGCAUGUCUCCAAGUUGCUCUCUGCAGUUCUAUUUUCAGGAAUCUGUGAGUUCUUCCUUUAACAAAAACAAAAAAAAGCUUUUUAGAUCUUCCCUGCCCUCCAGCUGUCUUGCUCUGAUUGUCUUGUGCCUGUAGAAGAAUAAGACCCAAUACGCAGGGCACUCAGCAGAAUUCCUGGGUCUGUGGAACAUCGUGAUGUGCUGGGCUUGAAGGAGGUUGUUGAACAAUGCAGAGACCCAACACUCAAAGCAAAGGAGAGAAGAGUGCGUUGCACAUGGAUGACGACAAUGGGAGCUGCUCAUCUGUGAACACUUGCCAUGUCCUGGGCACUCUGCUAUCUACCUUACAAGCUUCGGCACCCUAUUUUAUAAGUGGAAUAUAUUUUUUGGGGUGGCUAUAGAAAAGCAAAAAGGGGACAAUAUAAAUCAAUGUAACUCCAUCGCAUAGAUUUAACCACCUCUACUAGUCCGAUGGAACUUGAUAACAGCAGUCUCCCAUAAGGAGGAUCAGCCCAAAUUAAGUGCCUAGAGAAGGCAGACAUCCAGACUCCGUAUCAUAGUAUGUUGCACUCUGGGAACAAGAUGGAACAGAUUCUCCUUUAUGGCAGAGGCAGAACAGAAGCUGUGACUUUGUAUAGAUGUCUUGAGUGAGGGGCCUGGGGAAGGGGAGUUCUCAUCUCUGGAAUGCAAGGGCUUUAUAUCUCUCUAGACAAAUCACAUAAAAGAACAAAGUAUCAGAUUGGAGACCUUGAAGGAAAAGAAAAAAAAUGACUGCUUAAAGUGUUCUUUCUUGCACAGAACCCUAAGCUGAAAUGUCCAGUGUACUCAAACACUGUUGAAUUAAACGGAAUGAGUUAAAAAAAAAAAA